rnacentral:tRNA from 1 species
GAUCUCAUAGUUCAAUGGAUAGAACGAGAGCCUUCUAAGCUCUAGAUGAUGGUCCGAUUCCAUCUGAGAUCA